AUUGAACGCUGGCGGCAGGCCUAACACAUGCAAGUCGAGCGGAUGAAGGGAGUUUGCUCCUGGAUUCAGCGGCGGACGGGUGAGUAAUGCCUAGGAAUCUGCCUGGUAGUGGGGGAUAACGUCCGGAAACGGGCGCUAAUACCGCAUACGUCCUGAGGGAGAAAGUGGGGGAUUUUCGGACCUCACGCUAUCAGAUGAGCCUAGGUCGGAUUAGCUAGUUGGUGGGGUAAAGGCCUACCAAGGCGACGAUCAGUAACUGGUCUGAGAGGAUGAUCAGUCACACUGGAACUGAGACACGGUCCAGACUCCUACGGGAGGCAGCAGUGGGGAAUAUUGGACAAUGGGCGAAGGCCUGAUCCAGACAUGCCGCGUGUGUGAAGAAGGUCUUCGGAUUGUAAAGCACUUUAAGUUGGGAGGAAGGGCAGUAAGUUAAUACCUUGCUGUUUUGACGUUACCAACAGAAUAAGCGCCGGCUAACUUCGUG
rnacentral:rRNA from 1 species